AACCGGUACCGGGCCCCUCUGGCGAGAGUUCAUCGGCGCUCUCGCGAUGUCGGUGCCGCUGU
rfam:Haematobacter massiliensis strain CCTG 47968 contig1_scaffold1, whole genome shotgun sequence.